CAUGACCAUUAAUGGCGUCGUCAUAUCCUUUCGGGUGACUUGGAUGCUUAAUUCCUCUCAGGUGUGCACACCGGGUUUCUCCAUCAGGCCAUGAAAUAUUUAUCUACUUGCUUAUGUCCUCUAUCCACUCAUUAAAGCUCCUGCAAGGAGUUUUUUGAAGACAAACUGAAACUCACAAUGAUGCUUAUAUUUGGCGUACAACUGAACAAAAACAUCAGUGACUAAAGUGAUGGCUUUUAUGUCCAUUUCGAAGCAGGUGGUCAACAAGAAAACAAAACACCACAACACAACAAGGAAGUAAUUUUCCAGACCGGUGCUCAGAGGAGGAAACAGCAGACAGUGAUGUAAUUAAUCAGCGUAUUUUCUACUUAAUAUUGUUUCAACAUGUUGUAGAUUUGAUGCAGCCAAACCCUCCAGACCGUCAACUUUCAACCCACUGUACCCCAAUAACAAAAGCAAACCAGGAUUUCUGACUGAAUGUAAUUCCUCUCACGAUCUCUGAAUGAACAAAGAGUACAAAUCCUAAUAUCGUCAUCUAUAACAGAGGGUCGUUUUUACAUACUCUGUUUGAAUAUGACUGAUAUGCGAUGGGUAUAUGUCUCUCUAUAUGACGAUCAAACUCUCUGACCCUCUGAGCUGUAACCUGCAUCUGUCUGCGUCUGCUCUGUCACAAUUGUUCUGUUGUCCAGUCCGCCAGCUGGUCCUGACUGUCAGCAGCACCUCUGCACGGGCAGCUGAUGGCGACCAGAUGGUGAGACACACACACACACACACACACACACACACACUCAUACACACACACACAAAUAUAUAAACACACAGUUAACAUGCGUGAGUAGAACAUCCUCCGCUGGAAAGAGAAGGAGUGGAAGCUACCUCAGCCGACCUCUCUGCGCCGCUGCUUUUAUUCAGGGAAGAGUUCAGAGGCAGAAACAUGAGCUGUGACUCAAACGUGAGGUCACUGAAAUGUGUAACAUCAGUUAAAAAAAACACACACAGAUUACAUUUGAGUCAUAACAACAUUAACUCACUUAACGGUUCCCCUUAGUUUAAUGUCAGCAAAAAGGUUUCUCCAUCAGUCAGGCCACAGAUGGUUUCUCCUUCAUUAACAAGUUAGUGUGUUUAUCUAAGCUCAUAUCAAGGUUUAAAGCUCCUAUGGGGAGUUUUUGACACUUAUGGAAUACACUCAAUAUCAUGUUGUUGCCUUUUAAAGAAGUCCAAAAGUGAUCAAGACCAUCAGCAACAACAUGGAUGCUUUUUAUGUCGACGUUUUUAAUCCCUGAGGGUUGGUGUCAGGAGAGCAGGUUGAGAAGCAGCCCUGUCUUUACAAUUUCCUUAUGAUUAUUACAGAUUAUGAUAAAAAAAAAAUAUAUAUAUACACUGAUGAUCACAAGAUAAGCAAAGACGGCUUUGUCAAAGAGGGAUGCCAAAAUUGAUACAAACAAAAAACUCCUUACAGGAGCUUUAAGUGAGAUUUGAGGUUUUAAGUUUAAUCCUGUUUUCAAGUUUCCUGGAUUUCUUAGGGAUUUAUUUCUUGUUACUUUAUUUCUAAUAUAUUCACAAACACUCCAUUGAAAUCCUGCAGCCAUGUAGGUAAGAAGAAGAAGAAAAAAAAAAAAAACGGUACGGAACUUUUUUUUUUUUUUUACUGUAACAAUUCACAGCAAAGCAACAAGCUCAUUGGAAGCUUUGAAAAAACUUUUAAAUAAAUAGUAAAUACCUGCAAAACUCGAUUUUUCUAAAGGGGACCUUGCUCUUAAAGAAAGUAUAUACAGUAUGUAAAACAGUGAAUUACAGUAAAUGUAAAGUUCACUUUAUUUUUCUCUUGUCUGAUUUACACGUCUGUUUCAGAUUGUUUUGAAGAGCUUCAUUCAUUUUAUUUUACUAUAAUAUUUCACUCCCUGUCUGAAUUCACGCUCUCAAAGAGAUACGGCGCUCGAUGAUGUACGACAGAUUUUUACGGUAAAACUAAAACAGGACGUCUUGUUAUUGAAACAGAUGUUUGAUUCAACGCUAACAUCUGUUUCAUUGUUGAAUCUGUAACCCCAGCAGGCUGUGACUCAUGUUGGUCUGAACUCAGCUAUUAUCACCUCGUAUUAACUGUCAUUACACCCAUUAAUGAGGGGCUCACACAGGCUCUUGUUUGACCAGCUGAAGUGUACAGCGUGUUCCCAAACAAAGGCCGUAACCUCCGAGAGGAAUCACGAAGGCAGAGACUGGUAAAAAAGCUCAAAUAAUCUAUUGUUUUCUGUCUGCGUUAUGAGACAGCAGAAAAAACAGCGUCUUAAAUAUUCUGUGUACACCCCAAACAAAAAAAAAUGUUGAAGGAUAAAUUACAUAAAGACAUUAAAGUCAGUCAGUGGAUUUUGGUUCAUUGUUGCUCUCUUAGCCGUCUUGCCUUCACUUUUUCUGCUCUGACUCCUGUUUAACUGGGAAACAGAAGUGUUUUUCCUUUUUUUUUCCCACACUUGGACUCUCACCAGCAGAGAGGAUUCUGCUCUGGAUGGUAGUGCCUCUGGUGAAGUGGGCUGGCAGACUGCCGGGUUUCAACUACAACCAUCUGGCGACGCUUGAACGCUGGAUGUCAAAAACAUCUCAGACUACUUCUCACUCCCUCAGUGAUUUCACUCUUAUACUUGUUUAGAGUAUUUUUCUUUACUGCUCUUGUUCCUUUUUCUUUUUUUCAUUCUAAAGACACAAUAUAAAAUCAGUUUCAGCCUUUUUAGGGUGUAGUAUCACCAAAAGAAGCAAACAUAAAAAGUGUUUUGUUCCUGUAGUGGAUUUACUUCGUCAUGAGAUUGUUGUUGGUAUUUGGUCAAUUUUCUGAUGAACACCAGAUUCAUCUUCACAAAGUAGUGAUUAUCCUUUUGUUCUCGUGCUGAAACGGUGACAUAAGCCGCAGUGAUGUUAAUUUAAUUCAUACUAAGGAGACAACAUGUUCUUGCAUUUUUAAAUGAAAGGAUUUUAUAUUCUACUGUCAACAAAAACCAUAAAGCGACUACGCUUUAGUCCAUCUCUGGAGAGUUUCAAACCCCCCUCCCUAAACCUGUUUAAUAAAAAGCUGAGAGAUUCAGUGAAACUGCAAGGCACUGUAGCUUCAGCAGAUAUGACUCAAAACAUGAUGAAUGAGGUAGUUGGAGGGACUGCUUUCAGUUGUGGGUUAAUACACUGGUAGGGUUGUUUGUUUUUUGCGGUAAAGACAGCAAUGAGUCAGAUUGCCUCAAGUAUAAUUUUGUGUCAGCUGACAAAUCACAUAAAAAUAAUAAAAAAUAAAAAUAAAAAAACAACAAUAAGUCUCUUGCUCUCUAAAUACUUUCUGGUUACUGGUUAAAUUUUCUGUGAGUUCAGAUCUGUCAGAUUGAUAGAUAAGUGGAUAUACAAGUUUUUUCAUUCCUGUUUUAAAAUAAACUGUAAUAUCCGUUUUUACCUACGUUAAGACAUUUGGGACCCCAACCUGGAUCUAAGUAUGCUUGACCUCAUUCAUUUGAUCAAUGUGAAUAUACUGGUUACUAAACACCUGAGCUGGUGUGAGAAUGUGGUAUUGGGCACAAUUCACAGUUAUGUUGAAACGAGGAAGUCAAAUGCUUCCUCUUUUUGGUGGUGGUGGAUUUGCGAACCGACUCCGUGCACACGCUGCCUUACUGUACUUCUCAGUGUACAAACACAAGUGAAAAACACUCAGUGAUCAGGUUGGGAUUUCCAAUAAUCAUUUCAAUUGUAGUUUAACAAUAGGAAAAUUGAGCAGACAAUCGUGUGAAUUCACAACACAUUUUUUCACUCAGUUCUACUAUUUCCUGGUUUAAAACCACUUGAAAGUGUCUGCAGCACAUGUGAGAGCUAUUUGCUAACUGCCCUUAAACAAGAAGAGAAAAAAGAAAGCUGAAGUUUUUAGGUGCAGAGCAGUCAGUGAGAUUCAGAUCUGGAGAAAAAGAACAAAAACAAGCUCUUCUUCAAACUUUGCAAAGUAAAACUACCAUCUAGGAUACAUGUAAUCAACAUAUUUAUGAUGGGUUAGUCAGGUUUUUAGAAAAUCGACUUCAAAUGAAUAUCAAACAUGAUGUUUAAAUGUUUGGAUACAUUCAGAGUUUGCAGUCUGAUCAGUCAUCGUUGUAAAAAGCAGACUAUCAGGUGAGCGUGCGAAUAUGUCCUUUUUGACGAGUUAGGCUGCUGUUUUGUUCGAAACCAAAAUGCAGCUUUGUCUUUUAGUUUUCUGUCUGCUCAGUGUGGUUUCCUUGACCAUGUCUUCCAUUUUUAGGGUAAAAGGGCGGCAGUAGCUCAGGAGGUAGAGCGGUCGUCCAAUAACUGGAAGGUUGGCGGUUCGAUUCCCCCCUAUCCCAAGUCUGUCCAUUGUGUCCUCAGGCAAGACACUUAACCCACUUUGCUCCCAGUGUGUGUCCUCCACUGGUGUAUGAUUGUGAGUGUAGGCCGUAGGUGCAAAAUGGCAGCCACGUUUCCGUCAGUCUGCUCCAGGGCAGUGACUACUAAGGUAGUUUACCACCACCAAAGUGUGACUGUGUGAGCGAAUGAAUGAUGUAUCCAAUGUAAAGCGCUUUGAGGGUCUCUGAUAAAGCGCUAUAGGAAAUCUGAUGCAUUAUUUAUUAUUAAAAAGGGACAGCGCUAAUCUAUAAUAACAGACGGACUAUAAUCUAGUCUGUCUGUCAUUAAGUCUUUGUACAGGCACAGGGCAUCAGGGUUGCCAGGUGUACGAUAAUUAUCGUAUUUGUACGAUAAUUUUGCCCUCUGAUCAUUAACCAAGAAAAAAGGCUAAAUGUACGAUAAUUUGACGAGUGUAUAGUGCAGUGGGACUGUCUCAGUCUGCCAGACACUUAAUUUUUUUGUUUUUUUAUUUGCAAACCCUAAGGCAUUUUUUACCAUGUGAUGUUUCCAUCCAAUCGUACUUUAGAGUGACGUUUGUCUCCAAACGAGUGUGAUUGGCUGUCAAUCAUGCUCAGUCAGGAAGUCGGUUGAGAAAAAUAAUCACCACUGAAGAGGACCGUGAUGAACAGGAGACGAUUUUCUUUUUUUGGAAGACGGAAGGGGAAAAUCUCCUUCGCCUCUGAUUGGCUAGAAAAGCUGGAAACGUCAUCACACGCUCAAGCCAAAUGCGGGCUGAAACUCCUAAACCUAACCCUCAUGCUAACCCUAACCCGACAGACAAUGACGUUUCACAGCCAUACUAGCCAAUCAGAGGCAAAGGAGGGCGGGACCUUCCCCUUCCAUCUUACAGAAAAAAAAUUCGUGAACAGGAGCUAAAGAGAUGUUGGGCGGGGCGGUGAAUGACCACAAAACUGAAGCCACAAAAUCGUGAUAUAUGAUAAUUUUGAGUCUCUAGUACGAUAAUUCUAUAUUUCCAUCUGGUAACACUGCAGGGGGUGGACUAUUGUUGAACUCUUGUAUGAUAGUUAACAACGGUGAGGAGUUCUUUUACUACACCAACAGGAUUUGGCCUGAACUCAUCUUAUGUCUUUUUUAAAGGUUGUAAAAAUAAAUGACAAGGAAAAGCAGAAACUGAAUGAAAACAGUGUUUCAUAUUGUUCUUUAGUAUUCAUCACACACUGUGUUACCAUCCUCCGCGGACACAUGCUGGACGACUUCCCUGAAACCUUUCCAGAAUAAAAAUCAAAUCAAUCUUUUUUCCUUUUUCUUGAAAGAAGGAUCUACUAUAAAAGGCCUAACAGCAGAGAGACCACCAUCCAUGCCCGUCACACUGACAGUCUCCGUUUGUUAUUCCAGGCAACUGCACCGCCUGAUAGGCCUCCAGCACCCUCAAGCAGUCUCAUUCAAACUGUGUGUCUCUCUCAUUCUCUGCCGCAAACCCUUCUCGGAGACUUAAUCUGUCCGCUUUCUGUCCUCUCCCCCCCCCUCACGCUCCUCUUUCAGCUCAUUUACCCGUGAGUCAUCGCUGCGGUUUGGACUCGGGAUCAAGAGAGUGCGGAUGGAUGAAUGCGUCUCGAAACAGAGAUGGAGUUAAACCCCGGGGUUAAAGGGAAGCCUGCAUGCAAACCACUACAAAAUUUCUCGACUUAAUGAUGUGCCAAAGUUGCCGUCCAGCCAUUUUUUAGUUGGUGGUAAAGGAGAAAGUGAAAAACCAGGAUGCACGUUUUUUUCAGUAUGAGAAAGGCUGCCAAUAUAGGUCUGAGUCCGUCAGCUAUGUGCAUCCACCCUGAAAAAGGAGGUUAAGAUGUGGUGCUCAGAGUUAAAGAGAAAAAAAGUUCUACUGAAACUCAGAAAUGAGAGGAGAUUUAUUUCAAAGAACUUCCUGAUUCAGCUCUGAUCCUCUAUAAUUAGUGCUGUUCUGCAUAUGUUUUUCCAUGCAAUCAGGAACGAAAGUUUAAAUAUAUUAUCAUCAUUACUCUUUCGAGUGUCUCUUUGUAUUUAUUGUGCCUCAGAGGAGCUAUAGGGAACCCGAUGUAAGAUCAGUAAAACAGGAAUCUAUCAGGGUAAAAGUUUUUUUGGUUUUUGUUUUGUGACACAUCCAGAAAAGAGUUUCCAUGGCCGUCCGUGGUCUUCAGGCGCACCUUGUAGCCCCUCACACUGCCAAGAUCAGCCUCAGAUAUCUUCCUUUUUCAUGAAUUCGGUCGUUCUAAGAGUGAAAAGUAAAACCUUCACAUUCACAUUUUUCUGUUGGCUUCAAAUCCGUAUACUGGCGGAAGGCUGAACCAAGUUGUCCAUAGUGCAUACAGUCUAUGUACUGUACCUGUAGGCUCUGUACAAGAGGUGCACAUCCAAGUUUAAUGAGGUGCCAACUCUGAUGCCACUGUAUCAUCGUCUGCUGCAUCUCUCUUUCUCCUGAACAUAAAAUCAAAUUUUCUCUGCAUUUUGUUUUAUCUCUGCGUUAAGAUUGAAGCAGCUGUCUCUGUAAAAGUUCCCUCCUCCGGCGUCCAAUCAAAAGUGCGCACUGAACGUUCCCACUUGAGUUUGUUUGUUUGUUUGGGGAAGCAAAUAUGACUCAUUAGCAAGCAGCAUGGUUCUAUUGGAUUACUACGGUUACUAUGCAGAGUGCAGACUGACGUGCAGGAAACACGGUAACCUAAUGAAGCCUACAGACAUUGCAUUGGUGAAAGUUUGCGUACCGGCUGUAAAACGCUGUUUAUGUCUUCCUGGUACGUCAUACCGCUGCGUACCGGCUCACUCUCGCCCCUGCAAAUAUCAAAUAUGGUGCGCUAAUGUCGGGUACGUUCAUAUCUUGCAAUUUUACCGGUAACAGCACUUCUCAGACGUUUUGUGUCGUGAUUGUCUGCUCAUUUUGAACCCUGAGCUCAAUUUUUUUUUAGCUAAACAUUACAGUCUUAGUUUACUUAAGCUUGGAUUGGCCAGUUUAUGAUGGCAGCGCCCUCUGCUGGAUCAUACAGCAAGCGAAUUCAGACUGGCUGUUGUGCUGGUAUGCUGUGUUAUUAUGAGUUUGAAUGGCUCAUUAGAGUUUGAACAGAGGUUUGAGUUUGAAUAACCCUAACCCUAAGUCUUUCCUGUAACUUUCUGGUUGCAGUUACAGUUGAUUGCUGGUGUCUGCUUUCUUCAAUUCGAUUGAUGUCUCUGUCACUCUGCUUCUCUUAGUGUUUUAAAACCCUUCUCAUUUUCUUCACCUUUUAACUACAGUUUACUGAUCAACCAUUAAUCAUCAAUAGGGGAGAGUGGGGGAAGAUGAGCCAUUUUUCAUAUUUCGGAUCACUACAACUAGUAUAUCUGGGUAUAUUUCAAGAUGUUGUGCAUCAUUGCAAACCAACAGAAAGAGUGUAAACAUAACUCUUGAUAACAUAGCAUGCCAAAAAAAGUGGUCUCCUAUGGUCAACUUACCCCGUGUAUGGGGUAAGUUGACCAUAGGAGCGGAGUAAGUUGAGCCGUAUCCCUACUAGUAACACAUUUCAACAAUCUGACCUGAAUCUCUGAUCCUCUCAUCAUACCGCUUUACUACUAUUAUGACUUUAUUAGUCCUCUAAGCUAAAAUGGUGGACUUUUACAGGGUUUUGACCUCAUGUUGUAGCUCAUCGUUACCACAAUUGAUGUAUAAAACAAAUUUAAAAUGAUCUUUUUUGGUCUGAACACAAUUCUAAUCAAACUUAUGACAGACUAAAUUCACUUUCAAGAGUGAAAAAUGUUUUAUUUAUGAAAAUAAAUGUCUAACCCCUUCACCCAUGUGCUUCUAACCUUCACAGACUCCAUGAAUUGAUGGCCAUCUCCUAAAUAUUUGGUCACAUGAUCAAUUUCUUUUACCAUUUCCAAGCAACAGGGGGUGGCUCAACUUACCCCACUCUCCUCGUAUAAGUCUGUGCUCUCCCAAUAAGUUGAAAUGGCAAAAUAAUCAUCCUUGUUGUGCACGGAUACUAUUGGAAACUACUUUCAAAAACAAUCAAAUUGGUGUGAUCAGGUUUUGCUAUUCAGAAUUAAUAACUGUUUGUCAAUGGUUGUUAACCAAUCAGAAUCAAGUAUGUACCACAGCUGGGUGGAGAGGAAGAACGGCAGCUUUAUUACAUCAUGGAUGAAUGCUAGAGUAAUUUCAGUCGCUGUCAGAGAUUCUUACCUAAAAUAAUCUUCAUUAAAACCACAGAAAACUUUAUAACAUAAUAUUGUUAACAGUCCAGCCAGUAACCUUUUUGAUUGGCAGCAGUGAGCCAAACCACCUGCAGCCAGUCCCUCCCAAGUGAAUACAGUUUUAAUGCCAGCUCGGUUGUGCCGAGAAGUGUCCAUCACAGAAGCCAAUUUGAAACACACUUUAAAUACAGACAAAAACACACUCAGCUGAUUCUAUCAAAUUGUCAGUCGUGUUCAGAUGCGGACUGAGUUUUGGGUGGUCUGCUGAGCCUGAUGUUGGUGCACGGUGGUGUUUUGGCAGCAAUAUUUAUGAGCCGUGUGCUUCACGUCUUGUUGAGCUAAGGAGUGGAAGGCAAAUAUAAAAGUUCAGUUUACAAGUCACAAGCGGCAAGAUGCUUCUCAUUAGGGCAUCAUAUUUUACUUCUUUCUCAUCGUACUCCCAAACACCACCUCAGAUGACAUCAGCCGUGUGAAUUAGUAUCUCUGUCUACUGCUACUUCCCCGGAUCCUGCACAGACUUUCUUUCAUUUCACACUAAUAAGGUUACCUUCCCUGAGAUUUCCAUUUAUUUUUCUGUUAUUGGGUGAAGUUUUCAUGGCCAUUAAAUCAAUUCAGCUUAAUUAGGUGUUAUUUUGCUGAACAGACGUGAAAAAUUAGGCGAAUGGGAGAACCACCCGUACUAUAGCCCCCACGUUAAAAUAUUCAAUCUUUAUCCGAAGCUCGUGAAGCUGCUGGGGGGUUAACGUAAACCAGAUCGUAGUUAAUCUCUGCUCUCGUCAGCCUUCAUUAAAAAGCAACAGGGGAGAGACGCAGCAGACCCGAGCCCCAGACUGCAGCACUGUCGUCUGCACACGCUUGAUGUGGGAACAUUGGAACUGACAGGAACAUAUAUUCUUACUGCUGAAAUUGCUGUGUUGCACAGGCUUGCUUUGUUUUGGGGUUGUUUUUCCUUGUGGGAGUAGAGCGGCUUAGUUAAGAAAGGAAAAAGAGAGGGAACCUGCAUGUAUAUGCUCUUGCCUAACCCAUUUUAUGACAAACUUUACCAUUUUUAAUAUGUUGUAAUCUUGUUCUUGACAUUACACAUGCUUGUUCAUAUAUAAGAAUGACUGGCUCAGGUUGUGGCGGUUUAUCUUCGUAAGCCAAAUCCUGUUUAGUUUAUGAGUCAGAGAGGAGAAAGGAAAUUAAUUUACUCUUUGGUUAUAUUAAACUUUACCUCUGCUAUCCUGCGUGGAAACAACUGCUCAGGACUUUUUUAUAGUAAAUGACUCUAAUCUGCUUAUGAAUCACCAUCAGGCAGUUAAUUGGAGUUAAAAAAAAAAAGUUUAUUUUAACCAGAUUUUUACUUCGGAUGGAAACUUUUCCUCAAACACUCAGCAAGCCUUAAUAAGUGCCUGAGUGAGGCUGCUUCUGCAUUUCAAAUUGAGCGAAAAAACAUGUUUUUUUUAAAGUGUAAUUGAAAUGGCAAAGUUUUGUUAGCUUGAGAUACACUGGUCUCAAAAUAAGGACAGCUGUCUUGAUGAAAAAUCCAAGGAGUGCACGAUGAAGUGUGAGAUAUAUGAAUGUGAAGCUUUAAAACAUAAUUUUUCAUGUUUCUGAAGUUGUUUCUAAAUCUCUUCAGCUAAUACAGGCGGUAUAAAGAGGUCAAACGUUGCUCGGUUUGAUGAUCCUUCAAACACAAAGCAGUUAAAUACCGCAUGAAUAUGAGCUCUUAGGUAUGCUCAGGGUUGUUCAGGAAAAGGUAACAAAAAAGAAAUUAAUCAUUUUCGCGAUUGCCAGUUUGGCAUCAGAAGUGCCGCUCUGAACUCUCCUCUCCCUUGAAACGCCCUUCGAGUUUCUUCCCCUCCUCAAUAGACAGGGAAGUGUGCCAUCCGGUUACUGGAAGAGCCAGCCGACCAUGUGGAAAGUCUGCUUCAGAGUGGCACAUACACUCAUUCUCUGCUCUGAGUGUGUGUCCGUAUUUGUGUGUGUGUGUUUCUGGAGACGUUUAGAAGGAAACCUUUCCUUUCUCUGCUCAGGGUUGCUCUCCUGCCCUUUAGCACGUAUGAAAAACAUGUCAGAAAUUGGUCCACGAUGGAUUUUAAACCGAUCUGGUUGCUAUGACUCGAGCGUAAAGUAAAGUAGCUGUAUUAACACAGGGGGCUCGAUAACACUGCAGUAGGGAUGAAUAGAGGUUACAUUAUAAUAAUCCAGUGAACUUGAGGCUGUUGUUUUUACACAUAAGCCACUGAAAUCUUAAAGGGAAGCCGAAGAGGGAUUGAGUUUCAUUAGACGUAUUAAAACCUAAGAACCCCUCUUUAUUGUAUUAGCUGGAGGGAAAGGUAUUAGUGGAAGACACUGUAACAAAUGUGUUGAGCGUUUUGUCGGUUAAUUCACGCUAAAACCUCAGGCGCUUUGUGUAGAUGAACUUUUUAUUUCCUGUUGGAGAGUUGCAGUGGAUUUUGUUAUGAGUACUCAACCUAAUGUGUAAAACUUGUGAGUUAAAACAUCGCUUUUUAAUUUUUAAGCAAGUAAAUUUCAAAAACUGUUUCGCUUACUGUUAAAAAAGUUAAAAUUAGAAGACUCUCACCUUGUAAAAUAGAUUUUAAAAAAGUUAUGGAAACUGUCAGUAUCAUAAGUUGCAGAUGGGACAGUUAUUCCUGUUUGAAAAAAUGAACUUUUAAUGCCGACUGACUUACAUCUGUCUGGUUCUGUUCAAGCGUUCUGCCUGUUAACUUGCUAAAUGCUGCAAAGUGCAACACUCAUGAAAGAUGGGAUCAGAGUGGGUCUGGUUUUACAAGAUGCAUGGGGUUCAGUCUUAUCCCAUCUUCAUACUGCGUCUUUGUAAAUACACUCGAGUCUAGACCACUUUUACCGAAAUGUUUCUAUCAUUAUUUUUGCAAUCUGUAAUAUGAAUGUGAUUUUGAAUCAGUCAUAAACCCUGAAUAUCAAAGUAAACCAAUUUUAAGUCCAAAAAUCAACAACUUAAGAGAAGUUUACAACUAAGAACAGAUCUUUAAAUAUCAUUUUAGUGUUUUAUCUAUUAUUAUUUUUGGAGUAACACAGUAUACAGUAGACUCGAUAAAGGAAUAAAAAUAUAGCUUCAGAUACGGGUGAGAUCUCCACUAACUGUAUGUUUGCCUUUACUUGAGUGAUAUAACCUUUUUAUCUGAUACUGUGAAAUAUGACAGGUGGGCAUUUCUGACAGAUAAAACUCUGCUUCAAAAAACUACCCAGAGAUUUAGAAAGGAGGCAUUAUUCAACUUUCUUUUGAUUUGAAAAGAGCAAAAAGAGACCUUGAUGCUAAGAGGAAUCAUGAAAUAAUCUGUUUCACCUGCUCUGAAUGUGCAAUAAUUAUUUGGACAGAAGUUCUUUUAUGAAUUCAGUCCAAAGAGAAAGUUCCCUGUGGGCUCUUUCAGAUGUGAAAUCUUUUGUUUUUCAUAUCGGCCAAGAUCGAUGUGGGUCUUUAUGCUGCUACAUGGACAGAAAAACAAGACGUCCUGCAGGAAGCAUUUGCAAACACAUCUUUCGUGCCUAUCAUGAGCAGCAUCUGGGGGGUUAUACUGAGGUGUAGAGAAAAGCUACAAAAAGACAGGACAACAGAAAAUGAAUGUGAAAUCAGGACUGGGGAAUCAUUCCGAUGAAACAAGGCCUUCCCAGAAAGUAAACUUUAUUUGGCUUUAUUUUGCAAUUUAAAGCAAAACAAACAUGUGAAAUGAUAGUGAUUAAAAGAAAUUAUAAGUUGCAGCGUAUAGGGCAAAGCGAGUGGAAAACUUGUUAUAGAGUGGACAGUAUCUCUUGUCAACAGUCUUCCUGAUUCAACACUGACAGCAGCCCUAAACAACAACAGUUCCUGGAUGAUAAACUGUACAUUUAUAGUGACAGACACAGACAGCUGGCUUAGCAUCAUAAAAAAAAACUGUAAAAUUGACCCUAAUGGAAUAAAUGCAAAGCUAAAGCUAUCCUUCCACUUCACGACUUUAUAUCUCCAACAAAUUUUUUUCUUGCAUUGGAUUAAAUGGUAGGUUCAUGGACCUUUUACUUCAUAUAUUUUUCCAUUAUACCCUUUCUGAAAGUGCGUAUUAUAAAAAAGAAAUGUUGUAAAGUCAGAAGUCUUGGUUGUUUCCUUUUAUAUUUUCCUAUUUCCCAUUUAUUUACCCUAUGAGAUCCCUUAAUGAUUGAAAAAGGAACUAAUGACAAUGAAUAAACUGCAAAUUAAAAUCUGUUCAAAUAAAAAGUGAACUGAGUCUGCCAAGUUCUUGUUUUCCUAAAUGUUCGUCAGUUUGAGACUACUUCAUUUUUAUUAAUUCAGUCACAGCAGGGAGACACAGUCAUUAAAAAGGAGAUUUUUUGAUAACUUAGUUGUUGGUUCUUUCCUGUGGUUAGCAGUGAGACAUUUUGAGCCACUAAAAGUUGUUGAUUUUGUUUCAUAAAAGUGAAUGUUUGGGUUAAAAUAAUUCACCUUUCAAACUUUAAAGUUUAACUCCAUAUUAGUUAGUUUUGGAAAGUGUUAUUUCCAAACUUCCAAACUUUUGAUGCUGAAAGUAUGACAGAGCGUAGUGUUGUGUUGUUCGCGAAUGAUGUGUUCAAAAGAACCGAAUCUUUUAAGUGAACCGAAUCACUUCGUCAAGUGAUUCGUUCGUUUGUUAAGUUGAGUUAUCGGCAAUGUAGCUGCCAUAGCACGCAGCAUUGCUUGGUCAGCAGCCGGUGAGCGACGGACCACUCGUGCCAAGGCCUGAAUCACUUGGUGAACAAAUCAUGCAGUGAACGACUCUCUCUGGAAUCAUUUUUGUUUGAGGGAUACACGUAUAUGGCCACUGUUCCCCAUUAUUCUAACAUAUUUAGUAGGACACAGCAAGUAACAAGUAGUGUAUAAAACCCACAGUUUGAGAAAUGCGUGACUGAUCCUGUCAUUGCAGCAAUUUGCGAGGGAACGGUACAUGUUCAGAGAACGAAUCACUCACUGAGCCCACUUUACCGAGUAGACAACUAGCAUACCAUUGGACAGUACGCUUAAAACCUCAUGAUUUAUAAACAAGUUUAUUGUUACAAACCUGUUUAUCAAAACAACACAGCCACAACACUCUUGUCUACCGGUCCCAGACGCGAUGAUCUGAACUAAAUCCUGAACCGUUCGGCUGUGUAUCAGUUCAGGAAGUCGCAGGCUCCUCCCGCCAUGCGCUGAAUGAUUCAGUGAUUCGGUGAAUGAAUCUUUUUAAUGAACUGAUUCUAGUGAUUCAGUACAUCUAAAAGAACUGCCGUGCCCAUCACUAACAGAUCAUCAAUAUUUGAUAGCCAGGGGUCAGGGUUAGGGUUUAGGGUUAGGUUCCCUGACAAACCAAGUCAGUGCUGUUGUCAUACUCUCAUUUCAGCUCCCUAAACACUUCCUGUCCAUGUGAAGCUCCUCAAAGAGAGGAGUUCUUACCCAGUACUAAAGCAGACUGAAAUCAAUGGAGAUGCUGUGAUGGGACCUUUAGUGGUGAAUUCGUAUCUCAUUAGUUUGAUCAUUGUGCAUGUAUUUUAUUGAAGAAUUGUGAUAUUUUAACUCUGAUAUCACUCUCUUGAGCAGAAAGUGUUCCUGAUCCGCGUGUGAUGGAAUAAGUAGGUCAAGGACGUUGUGGCAUGAAAUGUUGAAUUGAGUUAAUUCUUUAUACAAAGUCUUUUUGUGGGUGUUUGCUCUGUUUGCGCGCUGAAAUAUAACUGCAGCUCCACCGUGUAUGUGCUCCUGCAAGGCAUCAACAUCGACUACUUGAAAUUGUGUGUGCGUCGAGACAAAGAGUGAUAGGGAACCGGUUAAGUGACUGCUGGGUGUGUGUGUGUGUGUGUGUGUCUGUGUAUGUGGAGGGGUGUGACCCCAGUGACUCAGCCAGUAGCAAUGUUCUUCUUCAAGGUGAAUGAGUCACAACCUCCAUCCCUGGGGAGACUUCUUUUUUCCAACGGAUAUUCGCCUCUGUAAUAAAUUUCUGCUGCGCCUUUAGUUCAAAAGCUGAACCUUGACCAUUUUGAAUGACACCUACAGCACUUAAAACUAAUUAUACGAUAUUAAUUUGCAUGGGAAAAUAUGAUUUCAGUCUGUGAAGUUCCGGGUGAUUACACUAAAGACAGUUGCAGAUAAUUCCUGAAGGGUGGAUUUGAUUUGCAUUUGUGUUGCACGUAAAAACGGUCAUGCAAAACUCAAAUGUAUCUAAAAUGAUCAUCUCUUUUGGUGAUGAAUUAUGCAUUUAAUAGAUAAUGAGCGUACAAAUCCAUUGCUAUGAAUGUGUGAUGAACGCUAAACCUGUUAUCAUCUCCAUCCUCCGCUCGGCUUUAUGACUCAUAUUGUCUUUUUUCUUCACUUCGGCUUGCCCCACAUUUCUUCAAUCUUUCUGCUUCUCCUUCCCCAUCUUCUUCUCUUGCGUCAGCCUCUUUUUAUCUCCCACAGUUCUUCUUCUCUCUUCCCAUUCGCACAGCAUCUUAUGUUCUUCCGUUUUCUAUUUUCCUGCUUUCAUUACUAUUACCCUGCUGUUAAAUUGCCCAUGCAUUUCCCCUCAUGAGCUCAACCCGGCUCUUCACAGAGUCGAAUGUAUUAUGCAAGCGCAGAUAUUGCUGCUAUACCUAUAAAUAUGUUCAUAAGAGAGUGGCUGUCGCGGUUGAGGAGAUUUUAUCUGGUAGAAUUGAAUCCUAGCCUGGAGGAGGGAGAUGGCAAAACGUCUGGAUUCAAAUCUUUCUAUUUUUUUUUGUCUUAAAAAAAACCCCAACAUUUUGAUGUACCACAAAAACUCUCCAUUUGCACUUGUUUGCUACCAAACUCUCCAUUUAGAGCAGGAUGUAUGUUUCAACAUGUUGCAAGCUGUUGCCGCAGCAGCUAAAUGAGCCACUUGUUGAGAGGGCCACAAUGCCGCUCGGAGAAAUGCAGGAAGAGAGCAAACAAAGAGCAGCGUAAAGCAGACCUGGUGCACCGGGGUCACCUAAGGGGUUAUUGUGAUCGAUGGGAUGAUCCUUCGCCUCUAAUGGGGUGAAGAAGGGAGGGGAAGGAGGAGGAAGAAGAGGAGACGGAGCAAGACGAGGGAGGAGGAAAUAAUAGGAGCGGGAGACUGAAAAUAGGGUGUUUUUUAUUUUGUUAUAACAUUUUCAAAUACUCAAGCUUCAUGUGGCGUGCUACGCUGUCAAGGAGAUAAUAGUCCACAGUGGGGUUGCCAUGAUAUCACAAUUAUGCCCAUUUCAUAUCCUGGUUACAAUUUAAUGCGUUGAUAAAAAUAUUUCCAGUCAAAUUAGGGAAAAGCAACAGAAGGGUGGAGAAAAAUGUCACUUUAACAGCUUAAAGACAUGAAAUAAUCGUUUGUAAAGCUUUUAUUUUUACUGUCUUGAGUUUAAGGUUGCUUUCUUUCUUGUAUUGUAAAAGCAUGCUUUUAUUUUGAAAUUAGAAAGUACACACAGUUGAAGUUACAGACAUGAAUGAAACCAGUUAUAAAAACAUUAUGAAUGCACAAAUAUCACACAUUUAUUGGCACUUAUGAACAGACACAAGCUCUUUGUUGUUUUUGGAAUUUCACACUGAAUUUGAAUCUCGAUUUUAAAACCGUUUGACCGCUUUAGAAAGGUGAUGCUACAGCCAGCUAGUAGGAGCUGACAUUACAGCUUCUUUUUUGUCCGGUCUUGUCUGGCUUUGUCCGGGGGAGUUUAUAAAAUCCCUCAAAUGUCCGCGGUUUUGUUUGGAAGUCUCGAGUUUGUGUCACGUGGAUUUACUGAUUUAGAAGCGUGUGAAGGACACUCGAUCCGACCUAAAAAACUCUCAAAAUGAACUUUGUUCAACUACGUGACUCCGCCCCCAUGUAGUCGUCUCCUCUUUUUGGGGAUUCAGAAUAUGGUCUCCCUACCCUGUUCACUUAUUUUUGUAGGAUAUUAUUUAAAGCUCCUGUGAGUUUUUUUUUUACUUCUAUGAAACUGACUUGAAUUCAUAUGAAGCCUUUUUAUGACAAACAAAAGCAAACAAGACAGAUAUUGACAGGAGCUUUUUUUUGUUUACACAUGUAGAUACUAGAUCUGAACCUCUUUGGUGUUUGCUUAAAAGGAUGUUGUAAAAGAUUAAAUAAAAAAAAAAGUCAUUGUCAAGUGAAGUUAAUAUUUAAUCCCAACAAAGAGACAAUGAUAUUACUGUAAAAACUAAAACUUCUAUUUAAAGCUCUACAAACAACUUAAGUAGUAUAAAUAAGUACAGAUGUAUUCUGUAUUUAACAUCCAACAUUAAAUGGAUGAGUAGAGAUAAAUCAAGUGUAAAGGGUCAAGAGAACAGGGUGAGGGAGUACACACUGUUUGUCCUUCAGCCCUGGAAAUUGGCGUCUCCUCCCAUCAUCCUUUCAUCGUUCGGUCCGCAUGUGGCUGCUAGACGCACAGACUGUUUUGGUAAUCACAGUUCGCGUCUUUGGAAACUGAGAUUCCUGAGAAUUAAAGUCUACUUAGUAGGACUUCACUCCGCUUCAUACACGUUUUUGGCACCUGAAACAAUAGCAGAAACAUCCACUUAAAACAGAUAAUGACAGCGCUUGUGGUUGUGCUCGAACAGGCCCGCUGUGGAAUAAUGAUGGGAUGGGAAUGGGAACGAAAUGUUUCAGACGAUAGAAAGAUGUGAUUAUGAGCUUUAAGUUGAGGAAUUAACAAAUAUGUGAAAUAUAAAUGUGAGUGAAAGGAUCUGGGUUUUCUUUGCUGUUGAGCAGGACCAAAUCCAGUUUCUUUAGAAGGGAACAGAAUGUGCUAAAAAUGUGUAGCGACAUGAAUAUCUCUUGACAUAAUAUCUUUUUGACCCUCCGUGUCCAUUUAUCUUUAAUUUUAACAAAAGUUAAAACAGUCAAAUAUCUCAUUGUGAUAAUGUAUCAUCAAGCUGGACUUGAAAUGUUUCAGCAGGCCCUUCAAACAAUAAAAGACAGAGUGUUUAUAAGCUAACUGCCUGUUAACACCCUCUCACACACACUUCACUGAGCAGCGCUCGGCUCGAAUCCGCUGGAUGAAAAGCUUUUGUUUGUUGUGGAGACUUUUACAUAUCUAAAAAUGUUUCUCAGGUUUUAUCGGUUGUGCGGCAGCUUCAUGGUCCUCUCAGCUGCUGUUCAGUUUUGUAUGGCACAUGUGCGACGAUGGAUCGCACUUCGAUGUGUACCUUAACAAGCCCAGAUCGCCCAGAGAAGGUCGUCUUGCCAGUUAGACCCUGUGGUGGUUCGUUUGACUCAUCUGGUUGACUCAUCAAACUCCGGUAGUAAAAGAGGUAGUGACGGUUACUCACCACUUCCAUCCAGAUUGACAUCAAAAGAGCUGACACUUGGCAUAGCAUAGCAACACCAUAAUACAACACAAUAUUGACUGCUUCGAACACUCGUUAAAUUCAGAGAAAUUUGUUCAGCUCUUCGAAGAAGGGGGAUUCUCAAAGCCGGUCUUGUACCUUCUCGCUGCUGUUGGACUUUCUCAGCCUUCGUUUUGCGGAAAGUCCCUCUUGCUCACGUGCUGACUUGGAAGUUUUUAAACUUCUGUUUUUUGUGUGUCCGUAUCGGACAAACCGAAAUGUCAAUGAAGCAUUUCAAAUCAACCCAUGAUCCAUGUUGUUGGGAGGUUAUCUUGCUAACAUUAACAAGCGUUUUUGGAACUAGCUUCCCACAAUGCAAAGGGUGUCAAGUACAUCAGGCAUCUGUUCCCCUACGCAGAGAAGAAAAGAGUCUGUGAUAUAAUAAUGUAAGAGCAGCCCUGUGAUAGUCUGUGCUUUAACUAAUCUGGGUGUCUUUCUCCACUGCCCCUGCUGAUCUACUUAGGUACUAUAGAGGAAUGAUCCUUACACCGAGUCAAAUACACCAAGUCAAAUAUUUGUAUUUUCUAUCACUACUUCUUCUUUUCUUUGUGGGGUGGGGUGGGGGUGUCCAGGUGGAUCCCCUGACAUCCUUAAACCUAAGAAACACCCCUGGACAGGCAUGUGAGACAGACUGAUUUAAUAAUUUUCGUGUGUGAAAUCAAGCCUUCCUUCAUGUUGAUUGUAUUUACCUGUUGAGAUAGUGUCAUACUAGAAAGUCCUGUACCAUAUCCUGUUGUGCCAAGCAGUCCCACACUGUGCUGUACUGAAUCAUAUGGUACCAUACCCAACUGUCAUAUCUUUCUAAAUGGUACCAUACCAUGCAGUAUCUUGAAUGUGGUAUUUAACAGUCUGUUAUGGUUCUUGUCCAUUGAAAAUGACUUGUAUUAAGUUUUAUUUUGAAGUGGCAGUGGAAUCUGUGUGGAUUUGGAGAUAGAUCUACCUAUGAAACAGUGUUGUAUCAUAUUGUACUAAAUACUAUCCUAUCCUGUCCCACACUGUCCUAUUCUAUUGUGUUGUGUCAGAUCGUAUCAUACUGCAUUGUGCCUCGAUGUUCCAUGUGGUCCUGUUUCCUUCGGUUUCCGAUCUUGUUACUCUAAACCCUGUUCAGUGCCAGUUUAAGCCACUUAUAAUGGAUUUGUCCUUGGCUUUCAAAGUGUUUAAUAUCCAGCCGUGAGAUCUAUUCACUCAGUUUCUACAUCCUGAACAUUUUAAACGGUUUAUUUUACUACUGAAAAGAUUAUUCCUCCACAACCGAUAACCUCCACAUGGGAAAAGUCAUUCCAGGACACGGCACUGCGUGACACACUGAGUCACUGUGUGUGAACUGCAGAACCAGAGCAGACCUUAGAUUUUACAGAAACCAUGCACACGCACACACACACACACACACACACACACACCACACACACACACACACACACACACACACACACCCACACACACACACACACACACACAGAAAAUGUCUAACUUGUUCCAUUCAUGCAAAUGUGUGGGUUGUGUUUAGUAUCGCUGCUGUCUCUUUGAAUUCUGUUGUUUUGCUCCAGGUCAGAAAAUGGCUAAAGCUACUUUAAAGGGCGAGUCCACCAAAAUGAAUUUCGUGUCAAACACACUUACCUCACCAUGAGGGUUGAUUUUGUUUGACACACUGAGAAUUGGAGAUAUUUCCUGCUGGACCAAGAUAAAAACUUUUUUUUGUGUGUGUUUUCGUGGCAGAGCAUUAAAGAGUGACAUUUGAAAAAUGUAAAAAGGAUAUUUUAAUGUAAUCUUCUGUCCCCAUUAUCUGUUGCUGCAAAUGGUGUUCAUCGGGAAAGAGCCUGUUUUUGGUGAAGGCAAAAAUCUGCAAAAAGCCUUUCUUUAGUCACCUGUAAAUUGCAAUUAUAAUGUUUGUAUCUUAGUUGUUCUUUUGUAUGUGAAGUUCCUUGUAGCAGCAUUGUAGAGACAGAUGGACAGACUUACUGUUUAAUAAAAUAUAACAGAAAGGUCUAAUAUCUUUGAUAGUUUGUGUUUAUGAUUAUAUGAUUAUGUCUUAUCUAAUGCCAGAGAUCUAUUGAUAUGGCUGUAUUUUGAGACGAGUGACAGAAUUGUUGUAGCUCUGAUUUUGUCUGAGAAAAGAAUCUCUCUGCUACACCAACAUUAAUUUUCCAAAACAGUCUUGAAAUGAAUAAAAAUAAAACAAAAAUGGAAUGUUUCAGGAAGAAAAUAGAAAUGACAAAACCAAAGAAAGCGACUCUUCAAUAAGUUUUGUCAAAUUGAACUUAAGAACAAAUUUAAUACUUUGUUUUUUUAUUUUAUAACAAAGGUAUCGACUGUUUUUAAAAUAUUGUUCCUCUGACUUUUUUCCAGUUUGCAUGCUUUGGGAGAAAAUGACUGAAUUUACUGAAAUAUCAAACUUGUAGGCUGUUGAUGGUGACUGUCCUUAUUUAAAAAUCUAAUAUUGAUAUCGUAAUAUUGAUAUUACUAAGGAAGCAGUAAUACCACGAGUACAUAGUUGCCACACAUGAUCAAAUGGAGGAGAGAUGAAGAAGAAGAAGCAGCAGACUGCUAGUGAACUAACUUGAUGCAGAUCUACAAACAGUAAUUAAACACGUGAAAACUGAAAUCCAGCUUUUUAUUUUAUUUUUUUGGUAAAUCAACAUUAGAGCUUUCGUCUCUUCAGGGAACUAAUUCAUUUACCAUUUUAACUUUUUAACUGUUUUCUUUCAGUUUGGUAACUUGGGAUCUCCUGGAGGUAGAUUGUACUUCAAAAUAAGAGCGUAAUUUUACAGUGUAGGAAAUAAAACAACCGAAAUGCAAGACAGAAAAUAUCAAUAUAAAAGUAUUAUAAAUUAUAAUUAUAAGGUAUUGCUUUAUCUAAAUAAGUUAGAAAUGGAUGAUAAUAUGUAAGUUUAUUGUGUUUAUUACUUAAGUUUUGUAAUAUUUAUGAACAUACUUGUGUAUGUCAUGUUGCUCUACCUUUUACUUUCUGUGUUGUUCUGAUUUCUUAGGUUUUCUUAUACUGCUUUAAUGUUCUUAUUGUGAUAUUUCAUGGCCAUGAUAAUCAUGAGGUGAAAAUCUGAUAUCCUGACAGCCCUUACAUGAACCUUUUUAUAUACUUGCCUUUAAUCCUAUAUCACGUGACUUUGAAUAAAAUCAAAAUAAGACCAAAAAAAUGAAGUUUAUUUUACACAAAUAUAUUUUACUGUUAGUAAAUAUGUCAAUUAAACUGUAUGUUAAUGUGUCAGAAAAGGUUUACUUUAAUUUUAGUGACAUUUUCAAGCAGGUAAAAUCAUUUCCAGUUAUUUUAAUUUCCUUUAAAACUUGAAUGGUUGUAAACAAAUGCACUCAAAACACCCAAAAAUAGCAUGAAAACAAACAGGUGAGGAUCAAACUUGAAAAAAAAAAAAGAAAAAGGAAAGUUAACAAUUGUAUCAGACACUUGAUACUCAUGUCUGUCCCUGUCCCUCCCUUAAUCCUCUUCAUUCAGCAAAAAAAAAAGAAAAUCAAAAUCUUCAGAUCCUCGUCAUCAGUGUCAGUCUUACCUGAAACCAAACACCACAGCCUGGCUGCACCGAGGUCACGACACACACCAGAACAAUAGGUGUUGAAAACUAAAACCAUAUAUCAGGUUGAUGGCAUCGAAACAAAUGAGGCAAUUAUCGAGACCACCGAGAUGGAUGGCACGGAAGGUGGAAAUUUUUAACCAACACGUUCACAGACUCACCUGCAAACAUAAAACCCCACAUUCCUGCAACUUAGCAAAUUCAAGCCCAUCUCACAGAGCCGAACAGGGGGGUUAUUACAGAGGCACAUCAUUACACAGGUAUGUUUGUGCUGUUUGUAUGCAGUAGUAAAAGUAACAGGAAGCUCAGGUUGUCCCUGAAAGUUACGACAGCAGAACUGUGUCCUCUAAGUUUAUCACCAUCGAUUGCGCACAUCGGUGUAAAGAAAAUAUGUCGUGUUGAGGAAUCUGAGGAUUGUUGCGCUUAGAGACAAUGGGGGGAAAAAUCCCAUAAUCUCAGGUAAAACGUGUGUGCGCUCCAGGCUGAAUACCGAAACACUUCCAUCUGUCCGUCUGUCCCCUGAAAGAACUGAAAGUGACUUGACAGGACACUCUGUGCAUUUCUGAUUAAAGAUUAAACACACAAUUUUGGGUA